rnacentral:rRNA from 1 species
AACGAGAAAGCCCUUCGGGGUGAGUACAGUGGCGAACGGGUGAGUAACACGUGGGCAAUCUGCCCCUCGCAGGGGGACAACCGGGGGAAACCCCGGCUAAUACCCCGUAUGCUUGUUGAGUCGCAUGGCUCUUCAAGGAAAGGUAGCUUCGGCCAUCCGGCGAGGGAUGAGCCCGCGGUGCAUUAGCUAGUUGGUGAGGUAACGGCUCACCAAGGCGACGAUGCAUAGCUGGUCUGAGAGGAUGAUCAGCCACACUGGGACUGAGACACGGCCCAGACUCCUACGGGAGGCAGCAGUCGGGAAUCUUGCGCAAUGGGCGAAAGCCUGACGCAGCAACACCGUGUGAGCGACGAAGGCCUUCGGGUCGUAAAGCUCUGUUGUUGGGGACGAAGGGUUAGGGGUUAAUAGCCCCGAGCCUGACGGUACCCUUCGAGGAAGCCCCGGCUAACUACGUGCCAGCAGCCGCGGUAAUACGUAGGGGGCGAGCGUUG